GACGAACGCUGGCGGCGUGCUUAACACAUGCAAGUCGAACGGAAAGGCCCUGCUUUUGUGGGGUGCUCGAGUGGCGAACGGGUGAGUAACACGUGAGUAACCUGCCCUUGACUUUGGGAUAACUUCAGGAAACUGGAGCUAAUACCGGAUAGGAGCUCCUGCUGCAUGGUGGGGGGUGGAAAGUUUCGGCGGUUGGGGAUGGACUCGCGGCUUAUCAGCUUGUUGGUGGGGUAGUGGCUUACCAAGGCUUUGACGGGUAGCCGGCCUGAGAGGGUGACCGGCCACAUUGGGACUGCGGUACGGCCCAGACUCCUACGGGAGGCAGCAGUGGGGAAUAUUGCACAAUGGGCGGAAGCCUGAUGCAGCAACGCCGCGUGCGGGAUGACGGCCUUCGGGUUGUAAACCGCUUUCGCCUGUGACGAAGCGUGAGUGACGGUAAUGGGUAAAGAAGCACCGGCUAACUACGUG
rnacentral:rRNA from 1 species